CGGACGUGGAUAACCCGCCUCAUACAGGGGGAUAACAGUUAGAAAUGACUGCUAAUACCGCAUAAGCGCACAGAGAUGCAUGUCUCGGUGUGAAAAGCUGAGGCGGUAUGAGAUGGAUCCGCGUCUGAUUAGCUGGUUGGCGGGGUAGAGGCCCACCAAGGCGACGAUCAGUAGCCGACCUGAGAGGGUGGCCGGCCACAUUGGGACUGAGACACGGCCCAAACUCCUACGGGAGGCAGCAG
rnacentral:rRNA from 1 species